rnacentral:rRNA from 1 species
AAGACGGGUGGGAGCAGUGGGGAAUAUUGGACAAUGGGCGAAAGCCUGAUCCAGCCAUGCCGCGUGUGUGAAGAAGGCCUUCGGGUUGUAAAGCACUUUCAGUGGGGAAGAAAGCCUUGGGGCUAAUACCCUCGAGGAAGGACAUCACCCACAGAAGAAGCACCGGCUAACUCCGUGCCAGCAGCCGCGGUAAUACGGAGGGUGCGAGCGUUAAUCGGAAUUACUGGGCGUAAAGCGCGCGUAGGCGGUCUGAUAAGCCGGUUGUGAAAGCCCCGGGCUCAACCUGGGAACGGCAUCCGGAACUGUCAGGCUAGAGUGCAGGAGAGGAAGGUAGAAUUCCCGGUGUAGCGGUGAAAUGCGUAGAGAUCGGGAGGAAUACCAGUGGCGAAGGCGGCCUUCUGGACUGACACUGACGCUGAGGUGCGAAAGCGUGGGUAGCAAACAGGAUUAGAUACCCGAGUAGUC